GACGAACGCUGGCGGCGUGCUUAACACAUGCAAGUCGAACGAAGUGGCGAACGGGUGAGUAAUACGUGGGUAACCUGCCCUCCUUUUUGGGAUAAACCUUGGAAACGGGGGCUAAUACCGAAUCAAGGGGGAUGGGCUCGCGGCCUAUCCGCUUGUUGGUGGGGUGAUGGCCUCCCAAGGCGGUGACGGGUAGCCGGCCUGAGAGGGUGAGCGGCAACAUUGGAACUGAGAUACGGCCCAGCCUCCUACGGGAGGCAGCAGUGGGGUAUAUUGCACAAUGGGCGAAAGCCUGAUGCAGCCAUGCCGCGUGUGGGAAGAAGGCCUUCGGGUUGUAAAGCACUUUCAGCGGGGAGGCGUUACCCGCAGAAGAAGCACCGGCUAACUCCGUGCCAGCAGCCGCGGUAAUAC
rnacentral:rRNA from 1 species